UGGGGGAAUCUUCCGCAAUGGGCGAAAGCCUGACGGAGCAACGCCGCGUGAGUGAAGAAGGUCUUCGGAUCGUAAAGCUCUGUUGAGAGGGACGAGAGAUUACUUCAGGAAAUGGGAGUAAGAGGACGGUACCUUUCGAGGAAGCCACGGCUAACUACGUGCCAGCAGCCGCGGUAAUACGUAGGUGGCGAGCGUUGUCCGGAAUUAUUGGGCGUAAAGGGAGCGCAGGUGGGACUUCAAGUCAGUCUUAAAAGUGCGGGGCUCAACCCCGUGAUGGGAUUGAAACUGUGAGACUUGAGUGCAGAAGGGGAGAGUGGAAUUCCAUGUGUAGCGGUGAAAUGCGUAGAUAUAUGGAGGAACACCGGUGGCGAAAGCGGCUCUCUGGUCUGUAACUGACGCUGAGGCUCGAAAGCGUGGGGAGCAAACAGGAUUAGAUACCCUGGUAGU
rnacentral:rRNA from 1 species